rnacentral:lncRNA from 1 species
CCUCUUUCCACCCUGUAAUUACCCCGCCCAGCAAAGAGUUCAGAUCUAAAAGCCAGACUUGUUUGGUCUCUGUUCCAGAUAGGUAUUGCCAUCGGGUUCGUGGUACCACCGGAGAUCGUGAACGAAGCAGCCAACCCGGCAGUCAUCGCUGAGCAACUCACCAUGUUGUACCUGGGCAUGGCCAUAGCUCCGACCAUAGUCUUUCUACUCAUCAUCUUCUAUUUCGAAAGUGAGCCACCGAUCCCCCCAAGUUUGGCGCAGGCGACGGCGAUCCAAGCGAAUACGGCCUCCAAGUCCUAUUCGCAGUCAGUGAAGGAGCUUCUGACCAAUAAGAACUUCGUCCUGCUCUUGGCCAGUUUUGGCCUCAUAUCGGUGCUUUCUACGCUUACUCAACGCUCCUGAAUCAGCUCUUCCUAGAACACUUCAAGGUACUCAACCUCACAGAGACGACACAGGGUGAUCCACGGAUGAACAAAUAGACAGCAGGAGCGUGUUCUAGAGGUCAAAAUAUGCCUUUUUGUUGUAAAAAGUUUUUUCCUAAAGUGCCCCCUGUCAGAGGGAAAUUAAAUUCCGGAAAUUGGAAUCCGGAAAGUAAAUCGUUUUUCCUAAAAUUUGGCAACUUUUUUGAACCAAAUCUCAUGAAAAUUUGUACUCCCCUGUACCUGUAUGCCCUGAAUUCAUAAGUGAUCUGAAAAAAAAACAUCAAAAUCUCAAUUUACGAUUAAAAAGUCUUAUUUUGACCCAUAGAACACGCCCCUGCAGUCCGGCUGUUUAACCCUGGAUCACCCGCUACUUUAAAGUUACCAAUAAUCUAAGACAUGUAGUAGUCGAAAGAGGUGAGAGUUAAAGUUAAGGGACAAGAAGUCAACGCUACUUUUCGCCUGAUGAUGGUUGAUUAGCAACUUGUUGAGGCACAAAUCAAAUAAAAUUCGCCUAAUGAAGACUGAUGAAGGUCGGGUGAGUACUUUACAAGGCGAGUUUAGGGAAAUUAGAUCUGCAUUUAACUGUUGAUCAAUGUUUUGGUCAUUAGUAUUCAGCAGCCUGAUUGUUGAAAUUAAUGUCAACACGACGAGAAUCGAAAAUCGAUGUAUUACACGGCGCAGAAAGGGCUAUUUACAGCACUAAAGUAUAGUACUAUAAAUAGCAAAAUUCAUCUUAAUUGCAUAAAACGAGGCAUAUGAGAAAGCCUUAAUUGCGCAAAAAAUGAUGUAGUUCCAGGCAAGAUUGCAGUAAGUGACAAUAUUCCUCUAGAGAGUCAAUGAAAACAGUGCUUUCAAGUAAAGUGUCGCCAUCUUCUCCCAAUUUCUAACCUGAAAAUGUGUUUGUUGUGUGUCAAAAACGCAACUACGAAAUCAUUCAGAAUAUGGUACUUACGGUUGUCUUGCCUAACAAUAACCCAGCAUGAAAUGAGGAAUACCCUGAAAUAAAAUCAGGCGAUUUUUAAUCAUCCAAACGAAUUUUAGUAGUCUUUCGGACGAUUAGUAGCAAUUAAGCAAAGAACGGAGGCUUCUUUUUAUACAAUUUUCCUCUCAGACACUAGUGAGCCAAUUUUCUCAAAACUUCAAUUUUGUACUUACGGUUCUCUUCGCUAAAAUGGCAGAGUAUUCCACUACCGGUGAUUCGUGCCGUACGUGGAUUGCGGGUGGACGGGGUACACCUCCAAACAAGGUGUACACUUCAGCGGGCGCAGUGUAAGCAAUUUGACGUACGUGUAAUGGUGUAGCGUUUGAAGUAUCUGUAGGAUGUCGAAGGCGCUACGUAUGGUCCGCGCAGGCGAGGCUCUUAUUGUCCGCGACAAUUAUUAUUUGAUUACGCCGAUUCAAAGCAGAUUUCAUGGUAUCAUCUUUCUGAUGAGAUUUUUGCUAUAUGUCAUCAAACGGAUUUCAUUGCCCGAUUCACAACGAGUGACGUUGUUAAUGUCUAAUUACAUACAUACAUAAAGCCGCUUUUAUAGCGCCGCCUCGCGCUCUGCAACGCCCAAUGGACCACUAGACAAGGUACGAAUUACAGCAUUACGAUACAUGUUUCUAUGCUAAAACUUCACGUAGAAUACGACGCGCACAACGAAAAUUACCGAAAUCAACUCCUUCCAAAGAUACCUAAUGAUUCUUGAUGCGUGAAUUCAAACCACCCGCUCAUGAAAACUCAAUGCUCUACGUGAUUCACAUCGUAAGCUAAACGUUAUCAUGACAGUCUCUGCGAUAUCAAAAUCUGGCAACCUCAAUCUUGAUGCUUUGGCUUAGUUGUAGCGAAUUGCUUAUAGUUUGAACAACACAUGGUGGGAAAUGAACAUUUCUCGAUUGAGAAGCUUGUUGAAACCGUUGUGGUGCGCGGUUGACUCACGUAGAGCUUUGAGUUUCUUGUGAGCGAGCAGUUCAACCUCCUCGUAACCUAUGUGAAAUAAAAACGUUAAUAUCUUCGUUUGGAGUUUGUUUCAUUCGUUUUCGUUGCGCGAAUCGUGCUCUACGUGAAAUUCUGGUUAAGAUACAUGUAUUAGAAUGCUUAAAUUCGUACACUGUCUAGUGGUCCAUUGCCAUUGCCCCCUAUCCUCCCAGAGAUCAUCAGACAAUUGGCAUCUUUUGAUCUCCUCCUCCACCCCUUGUCGCCAACCUUGUGCGCUUUCAAAACUAACAUUUACGUUAGGCAGAGCAUAGAGCAUGGUCUCUAAUUAUGGUCUCGGAACUUCAUAAUGUCGAGAUAGCACAAAAGAGAAAAAUAGAAACCGACAAGACUUUUGAAUUCACAUGGAGCCAUGACGAACUAUCGAUAGCGCCUGGAUACAAUUAUUCGUGCUCUGUGGUUCUCCACGUUGCAUAUUCAAAGGUUUGAAGGAGCUCUGCCUUCAGCCUUCAUUAGCCUUCACAAACGAAUCAGUGAGAACGAAAACACACCAACUCGGUAACUCGAAAAUGAUCAAUUUUCAUUGAAGACGGUUAAUUUACAUAAAGGUCAAUGAAGUUAGCGCAUCUCCUUAAAAGUGUCCAUGAGUGCUUGUCUUUCGGCAGCAAAAUCUUUUUUUUAACCUUCUUCACCUUCUGUGCAGUUUUGCGCGUGUCUUGAUUAUUUUCAUUUUCCCGAGUUGGUGUGUUUUCGUUCUCACUGAUUCAAAUAUGCAUGUGCUCAUUAUUUUAACAGCUUUUCGACGCUCCUUGCCUUUAAUCGAAUAGUACUACAUAAAUAGCACGGAAGGGAGUAUGAUGUACGUAUCUUUCUGGUAUUUGUGAAGAGUAUCAGAAUAUUGAAAAAUCACCAAUGAUUUCUAGAUUGACCGUCUCGGUAAUCGUAUUCAUGAGUAUCGUGAUAUCCAUUUAAUUGGACGUAUCUAUGCUGAAAGGAACUUAGUGCGAGUGGAAAGAUGGAGUGUGCUCGUGAAAGCUGGAUAAAAAAACAAUGUAAAAGUGGAUAUACAUAUAGUUCCUUUUGAGAAAAUGGAAAAGCGGGAUUUUCAAUUAAAUGAAAAGGAACUGAGCGCUAACUCCUGAGCCGUGCACAUGUGACAAGAGCGUUGUGGACAGGGCUCAUGAGUUAAAGAGUCCCGCCACCGAUCUCCCCGUUGUGCCCGGUCUUUCCGGUAGCCGCUGACGUUACUGGCGCUUUUAAAUUCCCAUUCAUUCUUAUGGCCCUCAACUAACGAGCAUAUCCCAUCUUUCCAAUUGCACAUAGUUCCAUUUAGUUUAAAUACGUCGGAUUGAAAAACUGAACAACAUGAACCAGAGUUAGUCUAAACUUGACCUCGCUUCACGUUGUCUAGUUUCUUCUCUUGUUUAAUUCCGGAAAUCCCUCUUCGAAAUCCUCCGUUUGACAGCACACAGCGACGUCCAGGGGGAAUUUGACUGCAUAUUUGAGAAAUGUGACUGAAUAAACCCGACACCGGAGGUUAAGCAGAGCAGCGCUGCGACGUCGUUUGAAACUCGCAUACUUCACGUCACGUAUACGAAAAUAAGCAAAUUUGACGCAAGGUGUAGCCCAUGCAGUUGGCGGGUGUCACAUCGAGUGAUUAGCGAUGGGAGUGUGCAAAUCCAUAUCCACCUACCCCAGCGCAAUGACAUUUGCGUAUCGAAUUUUAAUAUUCAUGAACUGUCCCGUAUGCUAUGUUGACAAAUCGCUUUAUCGGAAACUCACACCUUCUCUACGUCCUGUCAUCUCUAGAUGACUGUUUUUUCUUUUUUAGAGGAAAGGCUCAACUGAAAAAAAAAAAAAUUUGACUUCGGUUGCCUAAUUUCUGCUCAUGUUUCAUUUUCUCCACAUGCACUUAAGCAACACACUGCAUUAAGAUUUUUAGAAUUAAUUGUUUUUAAAUGAAAGGUAGUUCACAGAGAGUAUCAUGGAAUUAUAUUGUUUAGUACUUGGACAAGGAAAUGGACGUAUUAAAAAAUCGAAAGGAGCCAUAUCCAUUUUGAUAUGAGUUCUAAGAUCCAUACGCACUUAAGCAUGACAGAACUCAUGCCACAAUGAGUAUAUUUCAUUUUCCUUUAAAUACUUACAUCUCUAUGACCAUAACGUUGAAAUUCGCACCUUAUAAGUGUUCCAUUAAAGAUAGAUUCUUUCCUACUCUAAGUAGAUGGGGACUCUGGAUUCGGUGGGAUUAGGGUUAAAUGGGCCAUUAACCAAAGGGCGAAUUGAAUCAUUCUGAUACAUGUUUCUCAAUCGAAAUUUCACGUAGGACACACAGGACACAGUUCGCGCGUUGGAAAUCAAUUCCAAACUAAGGUGUGGUUUAUACUGAUCACGAGAAAUUUGAAUUUCCCGGUCACAGUGUCAAAUCGCGCGCUACGACGGUUUUGGCAGACUUCUAAAUCGAGCAAUGUUCUUUUCCCGCCUUGUGUUGUUCAAAGUGUUAACAAUGUGUGAUAGCUGAGUCGAAGCAGCGAAUUUAAUGUUGCGAUAUUUUGAUACCGUAGAGACUGUUAAGGUAGCGUUUAGUGCGCACGAUUUGACUCACGUGGAUGUCUGAUUUUUCAUGAGCGGGAGGUUUGAAUUUACUCGUCAAGAAACAUUGAAUAUCUUAGUAAUGAGUUGAUUUCAAUAAUUUUCAUUGCGUGAAUCGUGUUUUGCACGAAAUUCUGAUUUGAGAAACAUGUGUUAGAAUGCUUAAAUUCGUACCUUGUCUACUGGUCCAUUACUUUACAGAACUU